AUUGAAGCAUCAGUAACAAAUUAUUUUUCAUAUCAAUUUCUAGAAUAUGUUGAACAAGUAAAGAAUGUUCUUUUCAUGUCUAAUAAACAAGAACUUUCAACUAUAAUGGAAAGAUAUAGAGGAAAAGCACCCGAACCUUUGUGCAGCCAGUUUCCCAACAAACGAUCCAAGGCUGAGGCAGUAAAAAAAUAUGUUGCGAGGAACAAGCAUGUCAGUCAUGCACUUUAUCCAUGCUUGGAACAGCAAAGACAUCAGUUACAAGACCUAACAGAUGAUGCAGAUCAAAUAUUAAAUAGCUCUGGGAAUAAAAGUACUCGCAAAUGUACUAAAUGCAAAGCUCCAAUGAAAGGACAUCCUCGAGGUCAAUGCUUCACUGAAAAA